UACCGCGGUGGUUGCUCCGCCGCGGUAGGUCGCAGUGACCAGGGGGACCUGACUGCUUAAUAAAAACAUAGGUCCCCGCUAGCCCGUAAGGGUGUGUACGGGGGCUAAAUCCUGGCCACUGGCGGUAGGUGAAACCCGGGUUCAACCGGGCGAAGCCCCGCUGAAGGCCGGGGGUAACUCUGACCCUCUCAAGGUAGCCAAAUGCCUUGCCGGGUAAGUUCCGGCGCGCAUGAAUGGAUCAACGAGGUCCCCACUGUCCCAGCCCGGGGCCCCGUGAACGCCCUGAGCCGGUGCACAGUCCGGCAACCCCCGACCCCGAGAGAAGACCCCGUGGAGCUUCACCGCAGCCUGGCGUUGGCUCCCGGGGGUUCAUGCGUAGCGUAGGUGGGAGGGGUCGAAGCCGCUCCUCCGGGGGCGGUGGACCCGAAAGUGAAACACCACCCAUGGACCCUCGGGAGCCUUACCCCGCAAGGGGGACAGCGUCAGGUGGGCGGUUCGGCUGGGGCGGCACUCCCGCGAAAAGAUAACACGGGAGCCCAAAGGUCGGCUCAGGCGGUACAGAACGCCGCCGUAGAGUGCAAGGGCAAAAGCCGGCCUGACGAGGCCCUUCAAAGCACGGGGCCUCGACGCGAAAGCGCGGCCUAGCGAACGCUCGUGCCCCCACACGUGGGGGCCGGGCAUGACAGAAAAGUUACCCCGGGGAUAACAGGGUCGUCGCGGGUGAGAGCUCACAUCGACCCCGCGGUUUGCUACAUCGAUGUCGGCUCUUCCCACCCUGGGGGUGCAGCUGCCCCCAAGGGUAGGGCUGCCCGCCCGUUAAAGGGGAGCGUGAGCUGGGUUUAGACCGUCGCGAGACAGGUCGGACUCUAAGGGUCGGGGGUGCUGGGGGCCUGAGGGGAAGGUACCCCUAGUACGAGAGGAACAGGGUACCGGGGCCUCUGGUUUACCGGUUGUCCUGCCGGGCAGCGCCGGGCAGCUACGCCCUGAGGGGUAACCGCUGAAAGCAUCUAAGCGGGAACCCCUCCCCGAAAAGAGGCCCCCGUGGGGGGUUAACCCCCGAGACCCCUCCCCUAGAACAGGGGGUUGAUGGGGCGGGGGUGCAAGCCCCGAGGGCGAAAGCCCGAGGGGUUCAGCCCGCCGCUCCCAAUCGGGGGAGCCCCUAAGGGA
rnacentral:rRNA from 1 species